GUGACCUUGUUAAACGGCCGCAGUACCCUAACCGCGCGAAGGUAGCAUAAUCACUUGUUCUUUAAAUGAGGACUAGUAUCAACGGCAUCACGAGGGUUCCACUGUCUCCUCUUUCUAAUCAGUGAAACUAAUCCCCCCGUGAAGAAGCGGGGAUAAACCUAUAAGACGAGAAGACCCCAUGGAGCUUUAAACCUAGCUGCACCCCCAAUUAUUAUGUCAUUUUAUAAAUCGGGGGCCUGCCACGCUCAGUUUUAGGUUGGGGCGACCGCGGAGUAUAAUAAAACCUCCACGAUGAACGAAACUAUUUUCUUAUCUAAGAGCCACACCUCUAAGAAUUAGCACACUAAUGUUAAAUGAUCCUAUAAACGAUCAACGAACCAAGUUACCCUGGGGAUAACAGCGCAAUCCAUUUCAAGAGCCCCUAUCGACAAGUGGGUUUACGACCUCGAUGUUGGAUCAGGAUAUCCCAGUGGUGCAGCAGCUACUAAAGGUUCGUUUGUUCAACAAUUAAAAUCCU
rnacentral:rRNA from 1 species